rnacentral:misc_RNA from 1 species
AUAUAUGAGAAGGAAAAUAAAAAUAAAAUUUCAAAGAACGAGAAAGAAGAAAGAGAAAGUGAUGAUGGGAAUGUGACGAUGAGUCUUCACAUCCCAGGAGAGCAUUGCCAAUUCUAUGUUAAUUCUCAUCAACAACACUCUUUUUGCUUUGAUGCUGCUGCUGAUACCAUUGUUGUCACCAUUGCCAAACAACUUCAGGAAUUGAGCUUGGGAAAAUUGAAGAGUGCAAGAAGUGAGAUGAUAUUUGUGCCA